rnacentral:rRNA from 1 species
UACGUAGGGUGCGAGCGUUGUCCGGAUUUAUUGGGCGUAAAGAGCUCGUAGGCGGUUCCGUAAGUUAGGAGUUAAAUCUUUGGGCUCAACCCAGAGCUGCUUUUAAUACUGCGGUGACUCGAGUCCGGUAGAGGAGUGUGGAAUUCCUGGUGUAGCGGUGAAAUGCGCAGAUAUCAGGAGGAACACCAACGGCGAAGGCAGCACUCUGGGCCGGCACUGACGCUGAGGAGCGAAAGCGUGGGGAGCGAACAGG